rnacentral:lncRNA from 1 species
AGUAAUAAAAAUGUCUUUCCUUAUCAUGUUUGCCAAUAAUGCAUUAUGAAGAUUUUUCUCUUAUAUAAAUGAAUUCAUUUUGCAUGGCAAGGAACUAGAGAGAACACAAACAAGCAAGGAUUAUCUUGCAAGUCCAAAAUUUGUAAAAGAGAGUUUAUUAGUUGAAGGGAGGUGUUAUAUUUUGUGGAACUUUGAAUUCAAUUCUAGUCCAGAGUAUUGAGUUAUAUUAUGUAGGUUGUUGUAUCCUGGAGGGGACAAGUCAAAGAGUGUAACUGUUAGACCGGAGAAACAAUUGCCGCAGUGGGCUUGAAUCUCCUUAAGGAGAGUGAGAUAUCCGCGCCUGAUAUGGGUACGACCACGAGGAUGCACAUAUGUGAGAAUGCAUUGGACCCGUCCAAUAAAGCGUCCAAGUGAAGUGUGGAGAAGACCUUGGAUCACACCAAAACCGACCCUAAACUUGCACUUCAAGGGCGCCCUUGGUCACAUUUCAUUAAAGGGACCUUUUGUUCAUUUUACCUAUUAUUUGUAACACACUAUAAAUAGAAUGAUGUAGGGUUUUAGUCAUUAAUUUUUAUGAAUAUUGAAAGUUGUAGACACUUAGACAUUUCUCUCUUGUGAGAAAGGCCCCUAUGGCCAAACAUUGUAACUAGGGAUUUCAACUUGAGCGUGGAAUCACUCGUGUUGGAUUCAAGCUUGAAAACAUUGGAUACUUGAGAGAUCGAGGCCCCUCUUGAGCCAUGUAAGAGAUAGGUGAUUUGUAGUGUGUAGUUUUAAGGGUUCAAGAGUGAAAUAUGCUCUUGGGUUCUUAAGAUUAUGCCUUCAUGUAGUCUAUCUUUCUAUCCCUUUUGUUUAAUGUAAUCUUUUGUUGUUGUUUCUUGUGUUGUUGAAAUCGUUGGUUAUUAUUAUUGUAAUCCUCUUGUUCUUCAUGUGUUGAUGAUUUUUUGGGUGUUAUAUAAAUCAUUGAAUCUUGUAUUCUUCUUGUUGGUAGCGAAUCCGAGAGUGAUCUCCAAAAAGGUCCUCGGAUCCUUAAGAUUAGUGGGCUGAUUUGGAGUGCGUUUCGUGUUCUCUUUGUUUGUCUUGUAUCAUUUGGUAUCAAAGCAUGCUUGAUCUUGUUACUAAAAGAUCAAUCUUGGGCUUGCUUGAUAGAAAAUUUAAAAAAAAAGUGUUAGAAAACUGAAAAAUUAAAAAGAAGCAAAUCUGUCCAUUUUGUGUUCUUGGCCGAAAUUGUGUUAUUGUUGUGUCUUGGCCGAGAUUUUUACUUGUUUUGUUGUUUCUAGUGCUAUUUUUCUUCAUCUCUAACACUCUUGAGUCUAAAUCUAAGUUUGAUCUUACAUUGUUGGUGUUGUUUUCGUGAACAUAAGGCGUGGCCGAAUUAUUGUUGAAACACUGUUGUGGUAGGCUGUUUUGGCCUUGUGCUCAUCAUCUUGUUGUUGUUCUAAGCUUGGCCACAUGAUAUUGUUUUUCAUUGGUGGCCUAAGAACCAUUUUGUUAAAAUUGUAGUUGUCUUGGCCAAGUGUUGAAGAUAUUGUAUUGUGAAAAUUGGAAGUUGGCCGUGUGAAAAUUGUGGUAUUUUUGGAGAUUGUUGUUGGCUGUUCUUGGUGAUUGUUGAUGUUGUUCUUGAAGUUCUUCACAAACUUCAUAGCUUGUUAAUAUAAAUUGAACAUUAGAUCUAUAAAGGUGAAGGAAAAAGGGGUAAAACUUUGUUAGUCUUGAAAGACUUUCCAUCACUCAUCAAAUAGUCAAUCACAUAUCAACCACUUUCCAACAACCAACCACUUUCCAACAACUUUCCAUAAAACAAGGGUCCAUGUUAUAAGGAAAAGUACAAGAAAGUCAAAGUCUUGAAAACUUGAUUUUGAAAAGGCUACAAGACUUGCUUGAAUUUCCCUCCUUAAAAUAAAAUCCCACCAAUUCCUAAAUUGUAAUUGACCAAGACUUAAAAUUGGACAACAACAACAACAAAAAAAAUUGUUAGAAAUCGCAACCAAUUACGUGCUGCCACGUCAUCAUUGUUACUGUUCACGCAACAUAUUUAAGCUCAAAUUUCAGCUUUCUUAGUUUCCUUUUGUUGUUCCUUAGUUUCAAUUUCGUUGGUUCCAAUACUAAUUAGAAAACUAGUACUCAUCUACUAGAUUGUUAGUUAGUCUUUAUGUUCGUUCAUUCGUGUUAAACUUUUGUUGUGUGCUUUUCUCUUUUGUGAAUUCGUUGUAUCUUGUUGGUUCAAGUCCGUAAAUAAAUUUUCUUUGAGUCAACCCAAACGAAAAUCCAUUCCGAACAAGAGUAGACUCGACCCUUAAUUGCUCAUGAAGUACAAGCCAUCUUUCAACACUUGUGAAACCAGGUGUGAGGUAAAACCAAGAGUGAGAGUGUGGUGAGGCAUUUUGAACUAACAAGUUUGUUUUGUUGUUUUUUGUUGUCCUUUGCUUUAGGUACAAUGGCUACUACUAAUCUUGAUGCCACGUUUGAUCGCAUCAAUGAUGACAUUGAAGAAAUGAAAUGACACGUGGAAAGGCUACACCAAUUGUUACCUAAACUUAUCCCACAAAAUUCAACUUCCCUUGUCCAAACACCUUGUGUCGAGAGCUUCCCGAAGGAAGAGGUGGGCUACCCUGACUCACACCAAGGUAAAGAGGAGAUUGAAACAUCUUUGGUACUUGAUAGUGAACUUAUAGAGAGCGAAGCACUUGCUAGUUCCAAAUCUGUCCGUGAGAUAGAUCAUGUUCUCUUUAGGUUUAAGGUUUUGUUUGAAGAUGAUAUAAACACUCCUAAUGAACCUAGUGGUGAAAAUGAUGGUAUAGCUUGCCUUGAAGGCUAUAGACGAUAUGCUAAACCACUAUGGUGUGACAAUAUUUCUCCUAAAGAUGGAAAUCUCUUCUUGGAAGAUGAGAGUACUCUUAUGGACAGUCUCGGAAAUGGGUACUCUUGGUAGUACUCUUAGUGUGCAUGAUGAUCAAUUUACUCUUAAAUGUAGUUCACUACUUGAGCAUGUGAAUAUGUGCUUAAAAAUUCUCAAGUUAGUGAUGAUCUCUAUAGAAUUGAUCUUGAUAAUGCACAUGACUCUUUGAACAUCUUGUGUGGAAAAAGCAUUGCAAUUAGUUUUGUUCAUAGAGACCAUGUGUAUGAAAAUAUUUUUGUGUGUGAGUGUGGGAGGGACAUUCUAGGGGAAGGAGGUUCUAGCCUCGGCUUAGGUCCUUGGAUAAUUUUUCCAUUUGAUCCUGGCACCCUCUUGAAAUGUGGAAAUCUCUACACUCCCCACUUAAUGCUUGGUCAAGACGACAAGCAAUGUUUGGUUGUGGGUGCUAAUAAAGGAAGACAAAGUUCUUCCUUAUCUCUUUUUUGUGGAUGAUGGCCACUUCCUUUGUGUCUUUUGUACUAAGUUUUUUAUGUUCAACACAAAGGACACAUGGAUAUACUCCAAGUUUGUACCCCCCCUUGGCAUGGAAUAUGAUGUGUUCAUUUUGCUAACCCUAACCCCUCAUGUCUUGAGGUUGUGUACUUGUUGUCUUCUCUUGAUUUUGCGAGGUACGGAUUCGAGGUCGAAUACUUUUUCAAAAAGGGAAGGAUGAUACGGGUACGACCACAAGGAUGCACGUAUAUGAGAAUGCAUUGGACCCGUCCAAUAAAGCAUCCAAGUAAAGUGUGGAGAAGACCUUCGAUCACACCAAAACCGACCCUAAACUUAAACUCCAAGGGCGCCCUUGGUCACAUUUCAUUAAAAGGACCUUUUGGUCAUUUUACCUAUUAUUUGUAACACACUAUAAAUAGAAUAAUGUAGGGUUUUAGUAUUUAGUUUUGAUGAAUAUUGAAAGUUGUAGAAACUUAGACAUUUAUCUCUUGUGAGAAAAGCCCCUAUGGCCAAACAUUGUAACUAGGGAUUUUAACUUGAGUUUGGAAUCACUCGUGUUGGAUUCAAGCUUGGAAACGUUGGAUGCUUGGGAGAUCGAGGUUCCUCUUGUGCCACGUAAGAGAUAGGUGAUUUGUAGUGUGUAGUGUUAAGGGUCCAAGAGUGAAAUAUGCUCUUGGGUUCUUAAGAUUAUGCCUUCAUGUAGUCU